rnacentral:rRNA from 1 species
UAGGGAAUCUUCCACAAUGGGCGCAAGCCUGAUGGAGCAACACCGCGUGAGUGAAGAAGGGUUUCGGCUCGUAAAGCUCUGUUGUUAAAGAAGAACAUAUCUGAGAGUAACUGUUCAGGUAUUGACGGUUAUUUAACCAGAAAGCCACGGCUAACUACGUGCCAG